rnacentral:lncRNA from 1 species
GUACGGGUACAAUUGUUUACAUGCGGGUCGGGUUCGGGUAUCACACUAUUUGUGCCCGACUUGAUUCAACCCGUUGCCAUUCCUACUCACCUCCCUCAUUCCUCUCAACCCUUUCUCUUUCAUCUCUCACUCCAACAUUUUCUUUGUCAUCCCUACGCUAGUCCCAAUUGAAAAUAUCAGAAACACUGGCCUAACCCUAAUCUACAUUCCUCAUUUAUCCAAUUUGUUUCUCUCUCAUCUCCAUACUUUCCCCCACCCACACACAACAACCCGCAACACCCAAUUUGUUGCUCUUCUCUGUUCGCUCAUUUGUUUUCUAGUUUAAUAACAAAAUAAUUGAUGAUGUUGAUUUUUUAUUAGAAAGCUGUGUUAUAUAUUUUCCCUUCUGAUUAUUAUUAAAUUUGUAAAAAAAUAAAGUCUACAAUAAUUUCAA